AACGAACGCUGGCGGCAUGCCUAACACAUGCAAGUCGAACGAGAUCUUCGGGUCUAGUGGCGCACGGGUGCGUAACGCGUGGGAAUCUGCCCUUUGGUUCGGAAUAACAGUUGGAAACGACUGCUGAUACCGGAUGAUGACGAAAGUCCAAAGAUUUAUCCCCAGAGGAUGAGCCCGCGUAGGAUUAGCUAGUUGGUGUGGUAAAGGCGCACCAAGGCGACGAUCCUUAGCUGGUCUGAGAGGAUGAUCAGCCACACUGGGACUGAGACACGGCCCAGACUCCUACGGGAGGCAGCAGUGGGGAAUAUUGGACAAUGGGCGAAAGCCUGAUCCAGCAAUGCCGCGUGAGUGAUGAAGGCCUUAGGGUUGUAAAGCUCUUUUACCCGGGAUGAUAAUGACAGUACCGGGAGAAUAAGCUCCGGCUAACUCCGCGCCAGCCGCCGCCGUAAGAC
rnacentral:rRNA from 1 species